CCAUGUGCCGCCAUGUUCCAAAGAAGUCCGCUGCCUUCCUCUAGAGAGUGGCUUCUUUGGAACAUGGCGGCACGUGGUU
ensembl:miRNA